rnacentral:rRNA from 1 species
UACGUAGGGUGCAAGCGUUGUCCGGAAUUAUUGGGCGUAAAGAGCUCGUAGGCGGUUUGUCGCGUCGAAUGUGAAAUCCCGGGGCUCAACCCCGGGCCUGCAUUCGAUACGGGCAGACUAGAGUUCGGUAGGGGAGACUGGAAUUCCUGGUGUAGCGGUGAAAUGCGCAGAUAUCAGGAGGAACACCGGUGGCGAAGGCGGGUCUCUGGGCCGAUACUGACGCUGAGGAGCGAAAGCGUGGGGAGCGAACAGG